UACGUAGGCAGCAAGCGUUGUUCGGAGUUACUGGGCGUAAAGGGUGCGUAGGCGGCUCUAUAAGUAUGGUGUGAAAUCUCCCGGCUUAACUGGGAGGGUGCGCUAUAGACUGUGGGGCUAGAGUGCGGGAGAGGAAAGUGGAAUUCCUGGUGUAGCGGUGAAAUGCGUAGAUAUCAGGAGGAACACCGGUGGUGUAAACGGCUUUCUGGACCGUAACUGACGCUGAUGCACGAAAGCGUGGGCAGCAAACAGG
rnacentral:rRNA from 1 species